rnacentral:sRNA from 1 species
GCCAGGCACAGUGGCCCAUGCCUGUAAUCCCAAUGGCUCAGGAGGCUAAGGCAGGAGGAUUGUGGGUUCAAAGCUAGCCUCAGCAACAGCACGAUGCUAAGCAACUCAGUGAGACCCUGUCUCUA